CCCUUAGAUGUUCUGGGCUGCACGCGCGCUACACUGACAUGUCCAGCGAGCUCCCAACCUGCUCGGCAAAGAAUGGGUACCCUUUUUAACGCAUGUCGUGAUGGGGAUAGAUUAUUGCAAUUGUUGAUCUUGAACGAGGAAUUCCUAGUAAGUGCAAGUCAUUAGCUUGUGCUGAAUACGUCCCUGCCCUUUGUACACACCGCCCGUCGCUACUGCCAACUGAGAUGGGUCCUGAAUUGUUAGGAACGCCCGUCAAGGGGCCUACCCGGUCCCUAGUGCGGUGACGAGAAUAACUGUAAAUGGCAUAUCUUGUAGGGAGUAAAAGUCGUAACA
rnacentral:rRNA from 1 species